GGCGGGGUAGCUCAGUCUGGUAGAGCACAGGGCUCAUAAUCCUGGGGUCGCAAGUUCGAAUCUUGCCCACCGCAACCA
rnacentral:tRNA from 1 species